CCUACGGGAGGCAGCAGUGGGGAAUAUUGCACAAUGGGGGAAACCCUGAUGCAGCGACGCCGCGUGAGUGAAGAAGUAUUUCGGUAUGUAAAGCUCUAUCAGCAGGGCAGAUAAUGACUGUACCUGAGGAAGAAGCCCCGGCUAACUACGUGCCAGCAGCCGCGGUAAUACGUAGGGGGCAAGCGUUAUCCGGAUUUACUGGGUGUAAAGGGAGCGUAGACGGCAUGGCAAGUCUGAAGUGAAAGCCCGGGGCUCAACCGCGGGACUGCUUUUGAAACUGUUAAGCUUGAGUGCAGGAGAGGUAAGUGGAAUUCCUAGUGUAGCGGUGAAAUGCGUAGAUAUUAGGAGGAACACCAGUGGCGAAGGCGGCUUACUGGACUGUAACUGACGUUGAGGCUCGAAAGCGUGGGGAGCAAACAGGAUUAGAUACCCUUGUAGUC
rnacentral:rRNA from 1 species